UACAUGUGGGGCAAGCGUUGUUCGGAAUUACUGGGCAUAAAGGGUGCGUAGGUGGUUUGUUAAGUCAGGGGUGAAAUCCCCGGGCUUAACCUGGGAACUGCGCUUCUAACUGGCAGGCUUGAGUGUGGCAGAGGGGGGUGGAAUUCCACGUGUAGCAGUGAAAUGCGUAGAGAUGUGGAGGAACACCGAUGGCGAAGGCAGCCCCCUGGGCUAACACUGACGCUCAUGCACGAAAGCGUGGGGAGCAAACAGG
rnacentral:rRNA from 1 species